UGUCCUUAUUUGCCAGCACGUAAUGGUGGGAACUCUAAGGAGACUGCCGGUGACAAACCGGAGGAAGGUGGGGACGAUGUCAAGUCAUCAUGGCCCUUAUGACCAGGGCUACACACGUGCUACAAUGGGACGUACAGAGGGUUGCUAAGCCGCGAGGUGGAGCCAAUCCCAGAAAACGUUUCGUAGUCCGGAUCGAAGUCUGCAACUCGACUUCGUGAAGUCGGAAUCGCUAGUAAUCGCGAAUCAGCAUGUCGCGGUGAAUACGUUC
rnacentral:rRNA from 1 species